rnacentral:rRNA from 1 species
UACAGAGGGGGCAAGCGUUGUUCGGAAUUACUGGGCGUAAAGGGCGCGUAGGCGGCCUGUUAAGUCGAACGUGAAAUCCCUGGGCUCAACCCAGGAACUGCGUCCGAUACUGGCAGGCUUGAAUCCGGGAGAGGGAUGUGGAAUUCCAGGUGUAGCGGUGAAAUGCGUAGAUAUCUGGAGGAACACCGGUGGCGAAGGCGGCAUCCUGGACCGGCAUUGACGCUGAGGCGCGAAAGUCAGGGGAGCAAACGGG